rnacentral:rRNA from 1 species
CCUACGGGAGGCAGCAGUGAGGAAUAUUGGUCAAUGGUCGGGAGACUGAACCAGCCAAGCCGCGUGAGGGAUGAAGGUACAGAGUAUCGUAAACCUCUUUUGUCAGGGAACAAAGGCGGGGACGUGUCCCCGGAUGAGUGUACCUGAAGAAAAAGCAUCGGCUAACUCCGUGCCAGCAGCCGCGGUAAUACGGGGGAUGCGAGCGUUAUCCGGAUUUAUGGGGUUUAAAGGGUGGGCAGGCGGUCUGUUAAGUAAGAGGUCAAAGCCCGGGGCUCAACCCCGGACCGCCGUUGACACUGGCAGUCUCGAGUUGGAGAGAGGUAUGCGGAAUGCGCGGUGUAGCGGUGAAAUGCAUAGAUAUCGCGCAGAACUCCGAUUGCGAAGGCAGCAUGCCGGCUCCACACUGACGCUGAGGCACGAAAGCGUGGGUAUCGAACAGGAUUAGAUACCCCAGUAGUC